rnacentral:rRNA from 1 species
AUACGGAGGAUCCGAGCGUUAUCCGGAUUUAUUGGGUUUAAAGGGUGCGCAGGCGGCCAUUUAAGUCAGCGGUUAAAUCGUGGGGCUCAACCCCAUUCUGCCGUUGAUACUGGGUGGCUUGAUUGCGGUCGAGGUUGGCGGAAUUCGUUGUGUAGCGGUGAAAUGCAUAGAUAUGACGAAGAACACCGAUUGCGUAGGCAGCUGACCAGACCGCAAAUGACGCUCAUGCACGAAAGUGCGGGGAUCGAACAGGAUUAGAUACCCUGGUAGUCCGCACAGUAAACGAUGAAUACUUGUUUUCGGCGAUAUAAUGUCGGAGGCAAAGCGAAAGCGAUAAGUAUUCCACCUGGGGAGUACGCCGACAACGGUGAAACUCAAAGGAAUUGACGGGG